rnacentral:rRNA from 1 species
AACGAACGCUGGCGGCAGGCCUAACACAUGCAAGUCGAGCGCCCCGCAAGGGGAGCGGCGGACGGGUGAGUAACGCGUGGGAACGUGCCCUUUGCUCCGCAAUAGCCCCGGGAAACUUGGUGUAAUACCGUAUAAGCCAUACGGGGGAAAGAUUUAUCGGCAAAGGAUCGGCCCGCGUUGGAUUAGGUAGUUGGUUGGGUAAUGGCCUAACAAGCGGACGAUCCAUAACUGGUUUGAGAGGAUGAUCAGCCACACUGGGACUGCGACACGGCCCAGACUCCUACGGGAGGCAGCAGUGGGGAAUCUUAGACAAUGGGCGCAAGCCUGAUCUAGCCAUGCUGCGUGAGCGAUGAAGGCCUUAGGGUUGUAAAGCUCUUUCGUGGGGGAAGAUAGUGACUGUACCCCAAGAAGAAGCCCCGGCUAACUCCGUGCCAGCAGCCGCCGUAAUAC